UUGAGCUGGAACGUCAGGGGAUUGAACUCCCCGGCCAGGCGCUUCGCCGUGCAGGAGCUCGCGGCAGCACACAACCCUACCAUUCUUUGUCUCCAGGAGACGAAGCUGGAAUCUUGGUCUGCUGAGGUUGCUCGCGAGAUCGGUGGAUCAGCGAUGGAGGGGUGCGCGGUCCUGCCUGCUACUGGCACAAGGGGAGGCGUGGCAAUCUUCUGGAACACAAGGAUAGUCGACAUUGCCACGCAUUCAGUUGGCUGUUUCUCUAUCACAACAAAGGUGUCGGUAGUUCAAUGCAGCUCUUCGUUC
rnacentral:rRNA from 1 species